CCUACGGGAGGCAGCAGUGGGGAAUCUUGGGCAAUGGGCGAAAGCCUGACCCAGCGACGCCGCGUUGGGGAUGAAGCCCUUCGGGGCGUAAACCCAUGUUGUAGGGGACGAAGAAAGUGACGGUACCCUACGAGAAAGCCCCGGCCAACUACGUGCCAGCAGCCGCGGUAAAACGUAGGGGGCGAGCGUUGUCCGGAAUUACUGGGCGUAAAGGGCACGCAGGCGGUACGCCAAGUCGGAGGUGUAAAGUUACGGCUCAACCGUGACCUUGCAAUCGAUACUGGCGUACUGGAGUGCGGGAGAGGGAAAGUGGAAUUCCCGGUGUAGCGGUGAAAUGCGUAGAUAUCGGGAGGAACGCCAGUGGCGAAAGCGGCUUCCUGGCCCGCAACUGACGCUCAUGUGCGAAAGCCAGGGGAGCGAACC
rnacentral:rRNA from 1 species